AGCGAACGCUGGCGGCAGGCCUAAUACAUGCAAGUCGAGCGCACCUUCGGGUGAGCGGCGGACGGGUGAGUAACGCGUGGGAACGUGCCCUUUGGUACGGGAUAACUGAGGGAAACUUCAGCUAAUACCAUAUGUGCCCUACGGGGGAAAGAUUUAUCGCCAUUGGAGCGGCCCGCGUUGGAUUAGGUAGUUGGUGAGGUAAAGGCUCACCAAGCCUACGAUCCAUAGCUGGUCUGAGAGGAUGAUCAGCCACACUGGGACUGAGACACGGCCCAGACUCCUACGGGAGGCAGCAGUAGGGAAUCUUGCGCAAUGGGCGAAAGCCUGACGCAGCCAUGCCGCGUGAAUGAUGAAGGUCUUAGGAUUGUAAAAUUCUUUCACCGGGGAAGAUAAUGACGGUACCCGGAGAAGAAGCCCCGGCUAACUUCGUGCCAGCAGCCGCGGUAAGAC
rnacentral:rRNA from 1 species